rnacentral:snoRNA from 1 species
ACCCUCUCAGGAUCACACCUGGAGAGUUUCCAGUACCCUACCAGUCUCAGCUACAGGAGGGAGAGUCAAGCAGAGGCACACCCAUUCCAUUCCUAGCUUGGGCACUGGCUAACGAGUGGAAGGCAAUCUGCUAUAAAU